rnacentral:rRNA from 1 species
GACGAACGCUGGCGGCGUGCUUAACACAUGCAAGUCGAACGGAAAGGCCCUGCUUUUGUGGGGUGCUCGAGUGGCGAACGGGUGAGUAACACGUGAGUAACCUGCCCUUGACUUUGGGAUAACUACAGGAAACUGGGGCUAAUACCGUAUAGGAGCUCCUGCUGCAUGGUGGGGGUUGGAAAGUUUCGGCGGUUGGGGAUGGACUCGCGGCUUAUCAGCUUGUUGGUGGGGUAGUGGCUUACCAAGGCUUUGACGGGUAGCCGGCCGGAGAGGGUGACCGGCCACCUUGGGACUGAGAUACGGCCCAGACUCCUACGGGAGGCAGCAGUGGGGAAUAUUGCACAAUGGGCGGAAGCCUGAUGCAGCAACGCCGCGUGCGGGAUGACGGCCUUCGGGUUGUAAACCGCUUUCGCCUGUGACGAAGCGUGAGUGACGGUAAUGGGUAAAGAAGCACCGGCUAACUACGUG